rnacentral:rRNA from 1 species
UACGUAGGUGGCAAGCGUUGUCCGGAAUUAUUGGGCGUAAAGCGCGCGCAGGCGGUCUCUUAAGUCUGAUGUGAAAGCCCACGGCUCAACCGUGGAGGGUCAUUGGAAACUGGGGGACUUGAGUACAGAAGAGGAAAGCGGAAUUCCACGUGUAGCGGUGAAAUGCGUAGAGAUGUGGAGGAACACCAGUGGCGAAGGCGGCUUUCUGGUCCAGCACCGACGUUCAGGCACGAAAGCGUGGGGAGCAAACAGG